rnacentral:rRNA from 1 species
UACGUAGGGUGCGAGCGUUGUCCGGAAUUAUUGGGCGUAAAGGGCUCGUAGGCGGUUUGUCGCGUCGGGAGUGAAAACCUUGGGCUUAACUCAGGGCUUGCUUUCGAUACGGGCAGACUAGAGGUAUGCAGGGGAGAACGGAAUUCCUGGUGUAGCGGUGAAAUGCGUAGAUAUCGGGAGGAACACCAGUGGCGAAGGCGGCUUUCUGGGCAUUUCCUGACGCUGAGACGCGAAAGCGUGGGGAGCGAACCGG